AGCUGUAUUCCAUAAGUAUGUGUUUUGUUGUUACUCUAUCCAGUUACUAAAUGCCAUUUAAAGAACAUAUUGGGUUUAGUAUUUUCACUAGAGUGACUAGUUCCGCAAUGAUGAGUAAUGAUGUGGUUGCUAAUAACGGUCAAGAUCAUUCUGAUAAGAAUUACCAGUAUAUGUGGGCCUGGAUGUCGAGGGGUAUGGCCAGUCCAACUUAAACAGAGAUUUGGGGACAACUUUGUGGAUGUUAAUUGUAAUUCUGAUGAUGCAAUUUAACCAUACCUCUCAGGUGCCAAGUUGUUUAACAGUGGAUAGAGGGAUUCCUAAAACAACAAAUACCAGUUUGAAAGAAAAAAGAAACCCAGGUGGUGGUGGGAAGAAAUGUCCACAUAAGUCAUGGUCCCAAGCUGAAAAGAGUUACCUUUGAAAAAUUCUUCAGUGAUAAUAUAAGCAAAUUACAGUUAUCAGGUGUUGGUAAAAAGAAAUGCGAAGAAGUGAUUAAGUCUAGUCAUGGUAUUUUAUGCUCUCGUAACUGGGUACAUGUAAAAAGCCAAGUUAAGAACCUAAUAGAGAAAAAAAAAUAGUUUAGAAAGGCUUCUAUUAGAGGAAUUAAUUUCUGUUUGUUGCCAUUUAGUUUUGCAUAAUAUGAAUGCAAAUUAUUCAUAUGUUUGGUUCAAAUGUACACCGGGAGUGCUGUUUUCUUUGUUAUUCAAAUCUUUGAUUUCAUCUUCAUGGUUACUGUUAAUUCUUGAAAAAUGUUUGUUGGGUUACUAGAAAGUUGGGUUUCCUUAAGGAGAUAAACCAUAUUGUACACUUCUAUUUUGUCAUUAUCUGCCUAUAUGAUCAGGAAAAUUCAAUCAUUUUCGUAUUU